AUUGAACGCUGGCGGCAGGCCUAACACAUGCAAGUCGAGCGAGUGGCGGACGGGUGAGUAAUGUCUGGGAACCUGCCCGAUGGAGGGGGAUAACUCCUGGAAACGGUAGCUAAUACCGCAUACCAUCGGAUGUGCCCAGAUGGGAGUAGCUUGUAGGGGAGGUAACGGCUUACCUAGGCGACGAUCCCUAGCGGGUCUGCGAGGAUGACCAGCCACACGGGAACUGAGACACGGUCCAGACUCCUACGGGAGGCAGCAGUGGGGAAGAUUGCGCAAUGGGCGCAAGCCGGAUGGAGACAUGCCGCGUGUAUGAAGAAGGCCUUCGGGUUGUAAAGUACUGUCAGCUGGGAGGCGUUACCCGCAGAAGAAGCACCGGCUAACUCCGUGCCAGCCGCCGCGGUAAUUC
rnacentral:rRNA from 1 species